CCUGGCACAUAGAUAGCUCUCAGUAGAUGUUUAUUUUUCCUUACUUCCUUCCUCCUUAUUUAUUUUUUAGUGCUAUGUGCAUAUUAAAUAGUAGUCAUUAAAUGGAUGCUUAUUAAAUGAGUAUUUGGAGUUCAAUUAGUAAACUGUCAAAUACUUAGAAUUAUUAAGAUUGGGAGGGAUUUAAUAAUUAUUAUUAUAAUACCUUGUGCUAGGCACUGGGAUUAGAGAAGUCCUUGUCGUAUAAUAUCUGACACGACCCUCCCCAAAUGCAUAAGGUAGGCAUUAUUUUUAUUACCCAAGAUGCAGUCUUUAUUACUCAGGGUCCACAUUUCAUUUUACAAAUUAAGAAGCUGAGGCUUAGAGGGGCCAAGUAAUUUACAUGAGGUCACAGAAUGGAAUCUUGACACCAGAACCAAACCCUUCAACUGCUAGGUUAGACUGCAGAGUCAUUGAAUAUUUUUGAUCCCCUGCAGCCCAUAAGGAAGGUAGAGCCCAGCAAUUGGAGCAUCAUUUGUUUCCUGACUGCAAAGUGAAUCAUCCUUCUUAAAGAUAGUAUAAGUAAUGUGCAGUUACGCAAAAUUGAAAGAUUUGAGACAGAGCCAUAUUGUUCUCACAGGAAAGGAUUAAGGGGUGGGGGGAUGUGGAAAAUUAGGAGCAUGGGAGGAAAAUGGAUUAAGUGACAUGUUCUAGGGCAGCCCAGAGCUGGUGGAUAACAGAAAGUUCUAAUGGGGAAUCUUACUAGGUUGUUUGCAGUUUAAGAUGAGUUAAAUCAAGUUUAGCCCAAAGCUGCCUCCUUACAUAUAUUAAGUUCAGCCUAAGGGUAUCUCUGUACACGUGAACUAUAACAAGUGGAAGUAGAAAUAGACCAUAGCCUACAUUUGUGCCAAUCAUCAAGGUUUGGCCAAUCAAAUGUAGCCAAUUGUUUGAACCGUAUUUAAAUAAGGCAAACACCGAAUUGUAACCAAUCCAGCUGUUUCUGUACCUCACUUCUUUUUUCUGUAUGUCACUUUCCUUUUCUCUCCAUAAAUCUUCUUCCCCCAUGUGGCUCUGCUGGAGUCUCUGAGCCUAUUCUGGCUCAGGAGGCUGCCCAAUUCAGGAAUCGUUCAUUGCUCAGUUAAACUAUUUUAAAUUUAAUUCAGCUGAAGUUUUUCUUUUAUCAGAUGGUGUCAGAAGUGGGAUCCGAAGUAGAGCUUCUAACAUCCCCUAGGAGCACUGAGUGACCAAGUGAGGAACUCUCUGGACUGAUUGUGUCCAUUGAUCUCUUGGAGCAGCUGGGGAUUGUGGAGGCAUUUGUUUGGGAACUGCGGCCUUGUGUGGCUCAAGCUCCAGCCGAGGAACAGAUGGUGCAGCGAGAGGGUCUUGCAGCAACUAGACCAAGAAGAAGGACACGCAGAUGCCAUUUGCUAUCAUGAGGUCUGUUUCUGCCAGCAGAAGAGUGGAGCUUCACGCCGUGACUGACAAGAUGCCUUGGCCAGCAAAGCUUUUCUCAUAUUAGAAAGAUUGGAGAGAAUUGUUUCUAUGGAAGUGGUGAACAUGGGACAGAAGUACUUCUCUCUUGAUAAGACCAGCAUGUGCAAACCAGGAAGAAAAAGUAAAAUCUCCAAUAAUAGAGAGAUAAAUCAAACAGGAAAAAAAAAAGUCUGGGUCCGAAAAACACGUGCAUUCCUGUAGCAGAGUUUAUGCGAGUUUUUUUUUCUUUUUUUCUUUUUUGUGAUGAGGUCACUAUUACUCACAUGGCUGUGUGGGAUAGACAGAGAACAUGCAUAAAUAACAAGAAAGCAAGCAUUCUAAUUUGCGCACCUUGUUUUUUUAAGAGUAUAAUCAUUGGCUGGAAUUAAUAGGAGCAGCUCUGAAUGAAUAACUUACUCAGCAUGUAAGUGAAAUAACUGAGAUUAGAAUCCUGAAUUGUUACCUUGGGCCUGGAGCAUUUACCUCCUUCUCUACCUGCUUAUCUCCAUCUCCUCCAAGGUGUGUUAACCUCAUGAUAAUCAAUCACUUCCAUGAUCAACAAUCUCGCUUCUUUUGAGAUACUCUUAGGAUUUCUGCUCUAAAAACUUAGACUACUGGGACUUGAUUUUCUUUGCUUUUUUCUCAGAAAUGUAUCUCUUUCUUGUCCAGUUGCAGCAAAAUCGAGUGUAUGCGGAGUUAAACUCCUACAAUUAAAUGUGCCAUUUCAGUUAUGGUUUCUUAUUCAGAGUUUUACUUUUUUGUGUCUAGAUUUCAUCUAUUAGUUUUAUAAUCUUCAUUGUACCCCCUUUGUGACAUAAAAAUUCUAUUAAACCAGUUUUACAAACAUUGGAAGGUUAGGAGCAAUAAACAUUGGUACAAAAGUCCCAAUUGAAAUUAAGGGUUUCUCAUAAAACACUACCUUUUAAGGAAAUAUUGCCAAGUAUAAUAUAAUUGUCUUCACUGAAUGUAUCAAUCAGAGUUCUUGAUUGCAGACAACAGAGGCCACCCUAACUGUUGAGGCAGGAAGAGUUUUAUUGAAGGAGUAUUAGGUAGCUCACAUCUAACACACAUAAACUCACAUACGAGUUGUUAUGAUAAUUCAAACUCUCACAUAUACUGUCAAAAGAGUGAAAAGGCAACCCACAGAAUGGGAAAAAAUAUUUGCAAAUCACAUAUCAGAUAAGAGAGUAAUAUACAAAAUGUAUAAAAAACUCCUAAAACUCAACAACAAUGACAAUAACAAAACAACCUGCUUUAAAAAUGGGCAAAGGACUUGAAUAAACAUUUAUCUAAAGAAAACAUACAAACGGCCAAUAAGCACAAGAAAAGAUGCUCAACCUCGCUAGCCAAUGCGGAAAUGCAAAUCAAAACUACAACGAGAUCUCACCUCAUAUCUGUUAGCAUGACUACUCAUUAGCAGCCAUCCUAAUUUUUAAAAACCCAGAAAAUAACAAGUACUAUGAAGAUGUGGGGAAAUCAAAUCCCUUGAUCUUGCUAGUGGGAAGGUAAAAUGAUGCAACUGCUGUGGAAAGCAGUUUAGCUGUUUCUCAAGAAUUACUGUAUGAUCUGACAAUUCCACUCCCAGGGAUGUGAUAUUGUUUGGCUCUGUGUUUCCACCCAAAUCUCAUGUUGAAUUGUAAUCCCCACAUGUUGGAGGAGAGGCCUGGUGGGAAGUGAUUGAAUCAUGGGGGCGGACUUCCCUCUUGCUGUUCUCAUGAUAGUCAAUGUGUUCUCUGGUUGUUUAACAGUGUGUAGUACUUCCCCCUUGGCUCUCUCUCUCUCCUGCUCUGCCAUGUGGAGAAGGUGCUUGCUUCCCCUUUGCCCUUCCACCAUGAUUGUAAGUUUCCUGAGGCCUCCCAAACCAUGCUUCCUGAACAACCUGAGAAACUGUGAGCCAAUUAAACCUCUUUGCUUCAUAAAUUA
rnacentral:lncRNA from 1 species